CAUAGAUAAUACUUUCUUACACACACAAUGACAUUUACUGUAGUUAUUUUUCUGUAGUCCGGUUGACCGGACGUACCACCAAAUAGUUAAAAUAUUAUUUUUUAAACUCAUACAAGGAAUAAACAAUGUUUUAGAGGAACAUUAAAUAAAAUAGAUCUGAACAUUUACACCCCGUAAAACAAACGAGCCCUUUAAAAGGCGAAUAAAAUUGUACAUCCUUUGCACAGGCAGUAAAAAUUCCUGAAGCAUUGAGAUGAAGUGUUAAAAAUGUCUUCAGAUGUGUCCAAAACUUUGUUCUGCCGAUAAGAGGAGUGAGGGAAAUGAAUUUUGUAAGAUGCAAAGUUAUGUUUCAAUGCGAGGAGAAAAUUUACGGUAAUUAUUCGUAUCUCUCAGUGUUCGUACCUACUCUCUCUCCCACUCGUCGGAGCCCAUGUUUCACCGUCCAACUUUUUUUUCUCAAUUUCACAUGGUGUUUGGUUACUCUAGACCAUUGACAUGAAUAUUAUCCUGGAUCCUGGACAACAUGAAGCCAACAUUUUUAAGUUUGCUCCUCUAUCAGGGCCAAGAUUUUAUAUCUCAGUUCUUUCACUAAAGACAAAUUACCUCAAGAUGAGAAUUUCGGCUACCCAAUUAUGUAUACUAUGAUUAUAAAGAGAUCUGUAUUAUUAAGAGUACCUAUACCUGAAUAAGUUACAAGAACUUAUUUACAUGAUUAUGUACUCGUACCUUUUUGGUUUUUCAAAGAAAUAUUAAUGAAUUUGCGUAAAUAUUUAUGAAGGAGGUUACGGUGUAUGUUUUUCAUUAUUUCAUUUAUAUUACAAAAUCAAUCAAGUUUCCACUAAUUACGGUUACACAUUUUUGGUUUACCCUUAUAUUAUUUUAACAGAUAUUACUAUGUUUAAACGUUGUAACAUAAAUGUCAUGUUAAGAAAUUUACACAUCCAAGACAUAAUUUCUUUUAUAUCAAAGGUAAAAUAACGCGGAUUCUACACCACGGUGAAUUAUUUACGUUGAUGUUGAGCGUAAUAUCGUGAAUUUGUUACGAAGAGCUUUUUGCCUUAAUCUGCUUAGCAAUAUAUCAGGGGCAGCACAAUAGCACAGAUAGAAAGCCAAGAGCAACAGUUAAACUAACUGUCGGCAAUUUGGACCUACAUGAAACAGGAUGAAUCGGCUCUCAACAUCGACUCGACAAUUCACUUGAAAUUCAAUCUUAUUUAAUCAGGUAUAGAAUUGAAAUUGACGGAUUAAAAUUUUGCCAGUUACAUCUUUUUAGGUUAUAAAGCAGUUUGCUAGCCGAAUAUGUAGUUAAUUAAUUUUGCGUUAUAUUCCAAGUGGUUAGAGUAUGGUUUAGGUUGUCAGAAGUGUUUGCAAAGUUUAGCUGUGAUGUGUAUUGCGGGCGCAGGAGUUAAUGGUCCAGCAACUGUUAUUGAAGUCAGAUAUUACACCUACCCUCAGUUUUAGUGAAUUCACAAAUGUUACAUUUCGAUCAUAACAAUUUUAGCAAGCGCUGUUUACACCAAUUUGCAUAAUGUUAUUGUUGCAUAAGCAUUUAAUUCGGAUGUAGAUACCAGAACAAAAAUGAAAUGUAUUAUUAAUUUAUAUUUCAACACUAUUUUGCUUCAUAGUCGUGUUAGUCGUGAAUGAAACAGAUAACAACUUUCUUGGCACUAUUAAUGAAGUGGUUUGCCAUUGCCUCGUCUAUUUCACACACAAGUUAAUAAUCAAUCAGUGUGCAGGUUACUCACGAUGUUUUUCUUCACCGGAAGCAAGUGGUAGUCGAUGAAAAGUACUAUAGAUGAAUCAGAUUGGUACACAAACUUAUGUGGCACGAGUAGGAAUCGAACUUCCUUUCGAUCUUCAGUCUUAACCAAUACACCACCGGCGCCAAUUUAAUUAAUAUUACAAAUACGAAAUUGGGUUUAUUUGUUUGUUAAGUAAGCCUUAUCACGCUUUAUCUACUCAACCAAUCCUCGCUCAAGUAUACUUGUGAAUACAAGGGACUUAAAUAACAAUUUUGUUUCCCUCUCUCUCUCUCAUGACUCUCAUCAU